GGCGCGGCCUACCUGCAAGUCGUACAGGGUACCAAGCAGCUUGCUGCUUCGCUGACGAGUGGCGGACGGGUGAGUAAUGUCUGGGAAACUGCCUGAUGGAGGGGGAUAACUACUGGAAACGGUAGCUAAUACCGCAUAACGUCGCAAGACCAAAGAGGGGGACCUUCGGGCCUCUUGCCAUCGGAUGUGCCCAGAUGGGAUUAGCUAGUAGGUGGGGUAACGGCUCACCUAGGCGACGAUCCCUAGCUGGUCUGAGAGGAUGACCAGCCACACUGGAACUGAGACACGGUCCAGACUCCUACGGGAGGCAGCAGUGGGGAAUAUUGCACAAUGGGCGCAAGCCUGAUGCAGCCAUGCCGCGUGUAUGAAGAAGGCCUUCGGGUUGUAAGUACUUUCAGCGGGGAGGAAGGCGAU
rnacentral:rRNA from 1 species